AGCAAACGCUGGCGGCGUGCCUAACACAUGCAAGUCGUACGAGAAACACGUCCUUCGGGAUGUGCAGUAAAGUGGCGCACGGGUGAGUAACACGUGGGUAACCUGCCCCCGAGAUCGGGAUAACUAGCCGAAAGGCUAGCUAAUACCGAAUGAUAUUCCGAUUCCUCCGGGAGUUGGAAUCAAAGGUGGCCUCUGCAUGCAAGCUACUGUUCAUGGAUGGGCCCGCGUACCAUUAGCUAGUUGGUAGGGUAACGGCCUACCAAGGCAUCGAUGGUUAGCCGGUCUGAGAGGGUGGGCAGCCACACUGGAACUGAGACACGGUCCAGACUCCUACGGGAGGCAGCAGUGGGGAAUCUUGCGCAAUGGAGGAAACCCUGACGUAGCAACGCCGCGUGGGUGAUGAAGGCCUUCGGGUCGAAAAGCCCUGUCAGGUGGGAAGAACCGUAUCGGUGCAAACAGUGCCGAUGCUUGACGGUACCACCGGAGGAAGCACCGGCAAACUCCGUGCCAGCCGCCGCGGUAAUAC
rnacentral:rRNA from 1 species